UCGAUCCCCUGCCCGUACCCCGGCGCGGGGGCCGGGAUCAAAAGCUUAGAGAGUUGCAAGAGCUUAGCCGUAGGCUAUUCAAUACUCGUGGUGUUCCUCGUCGUUCCUGCUGCAGAGAAGCGAGCAGAACAUGGCAGAGACAAGUACUAACCAACUGCCGUUGCUGGUCGCCCUGCAGCUUUUCAUAAUCUUUGCCUUGACGGCCUUGACCCAUUGGCCUAUGGUUAGCAGGCGGAAUAAUGAAACUAAUGGUCGGUAUUGUAAGAGUUGUUGGGCAAUGGCAUGAUCAACGUGGCCGACCCAUCCUCUAAACUCGGCCGGGGUAUGGGCGUAUGGCGGUCUCGCCAUUUUUCAUUAAGAGGAAACGAUUUUGGCUAACGACCUAAAAAAACUCUUUGAAUCUUGGCUAACGAGGGGAUAUUUUUUUUAUCAGCUUGAAAUUCGUUUUCACCGAAAAUCGAGUUCAGAAUCUGACGAGUACUACCGGACUAUCCAACCAAAUCAGCUCAAGGCCGAGGCGUCCUCAACAUUGAUUGGAGCGCUACUAACAUGCAUGUGAAGUGUGACAUAUCUACUUAUCUAGAGGCCCGAACGUACAGUUUGUCUAAUCCCAUGAGCAGGGAAAAAAGUAAUCUUCAGACAAGCUUGCAUUAGAGGGAUGCGAAACAGUGGGCCUGAAUGGAAAGCCUCAUUGGCGACGGCAGUGCCGGGAGGCUGGGCUGUCAAAGGGAAUGCCAAACUGUCCGAAACAUGGCGGUGUGGCAUCCGUCUGAACCUACCGGCGGAGCUCAGCCAAAGUUGCAGAGACACGAGACGUUACAAAGGCCUGCCUGCACAGACAGAUAAACUAUGCCGGACCUGACCGGGAGGGCAAACGGCACAUGCAGGAGGCCAGCCUGUUGCAUCCAGCCAACGCCCUGGCUCUAUCUGGAAGUCAGGUCCAGAGCGAGCCAAGAAAGCUACAGCAAUGGCUGCCGGGAAACGGGGUAGAAGAACUGCACACAGGGAUGGUUUGGUUUGCGUCCAACCCGUGAGGCCGUGAGAGGAGAUGGCUGACGUGGAUAGCGCACUCAAUUACUGGAUGUGUCAGCAUAUCAUUUACUGGCCAUGGCCCCAGGUUCCUGUACUUUGGGAAGCAGUUGGCAUCUGAUCUGUACGAGAAGAUUGUACUUUUUUUUCCCCCUUCCUUCUCCCCUCUCUCGUUCAGCUUUUAGAUUGCAGAAUUCAGCUCGUUUCCGGGAAGCAAUGGCGGCGUCUCUGAAAGUCCGGCUUCUCAAAGUCUGUCAA